AGAACGAACGCUGGCGGCAGGCCUAACACAUGCAAGUCGAACGCCCCGCAAGGGGAGUGGCAGACGGGUGAGUAACACGUGGGAACGCGCCCUUCGGUUCGGAAUAACUCAGGGAAACUUGAGCUAAUACCGGAUACGCCCUUACGGGGAAAGAUUUAUUGCCGAAGGAACGGCCCGCGUCCGAUUAGCUAGUUGGUGAGGUAAUGGCUCACCAAGGCUCCGAUCGGUAGCUGGUCUGAGAGGAUGACCAGCAUCACUGGGACUGAGACACGGCCCAGACUCCUACGGGAGGCAGCAGUGGGGAAUAUUGGACAAUGGGCGCAAGCCUGAUCCAGCCAUGCCGCGUGGAUGAUGAAGGCCUUAGGGUUGUAAAGUCCUUUUAACGGGGAAGAUAAUGACGGUACCCGUAGAAUAAGCCCCGGCUAACUUCGUGCCAGCAGCCGC
rnacentral:rRNA from 1 species